rnacentral:tRNA from 2 species
GAAAGCAGAACUCGAGUGGUGGAGUGUCCCCCUUUUAAGGGGAAAGUCUUGGUUCAAGUCCAAGUGUUUUCA